AGAUAAAUCCUUCCGGAUCACGGGGCUGCCACGGGAGUGGCUUCCACCACACCAUCUCCUGUCCUGGGUGUUGUGGGGAGAUGAGUCUGGAUCCUACCUGGAUUCUGCCUCCAAGCUGGGGGAAGAAAGCUCCCAUGUUGUGAGGCAUAAAAAGGCCCACAUGUCAAAGAACUACAGCCUGCCAGCGACCACGUGACUGAGCUUGGAGGUGGAUCAUCCCUCAGGGAAGCCUUGAGAUGACAGCAGGCUGGGAGGGAUGCUCAGCCAGGACCAUGCAGCCAUGCUGCUCCGGCAUUCCUGAACCACAGAUGCUGUGAGAUGACAUUUUUUUCCCUCUACAUGUGUCAGCACUUCCCAGAUGUGAUGAUGGUAUUUGAAAGAGCAUGAUCUGGAAAUCCUGAGCCGUGCUGCCACAAGAAAAUGGAUGCACAGAGGACAAGGCCAGGCAGCGCAGGUCUUCAUUACACUGAGACUUUGCCUGAGUCCCAUGGUGCCCCAGUGCCCUGGCCUGGGCACAUCAGCACUGCCUUCUGUCCAGGCCCCAUGAGUCUCAGAUGGUGGACCCUGGUGACGGAAGGCUGGGUAGAUGCCAUGGACCUUUCCAUAGGUCAUAGCCACAGCUGAGCACUUGGUGUCUUACUACUCAGUGGAGAGGAGAAGUGUGCUGAAGGGUGGUAAGAGAGUGUGUCCAGGGGCCCAGACCAGAGUGGGCCAUGCCUCAUCUAGAGAGCAAGCAUCUUCCAGAAAGGAGAGCCCUUGGGUCCUUUUACAGAAGCAAUCAGAAAAACAUCGGGAAUCUCCCAGAAGACUGAAUGUAAGAGGACGAAGGGUCCGGGCACAGUGGCUCAUUCCUGUAAUCCCAGAACUUUGGGAGACUGAGGUGAGUGGAUCACUUGAGGUCAGGAGUUCGAGACCAGCCUGAACAACAUGGUGAAACCCCAUCUCUACUAAAAAUACAAUAUUAGCUGGGCAUAGUGGCGCAUGCCUGUAAUCCCAGCUACUCAGGAGGCUGAGGCAGGAGAAUCGCUUGAACCCAGGAGGAGGAGGUUGCAGUGAGCCGAGAUUGCAUCACCGCAUUCCAGCCUGGGCAACAAAGCAAGACUUCAUCACACACACACACACACACACACACACACACACACACACACAAACGAAACAACAACAACAACAAAACC
rnacentral:lncRNA from 1 species